UCAAGGGCAGCCUGCCUCCGGGAGACUGGUCUUCCCCUCAUUUAUUUUCACGUCACCUCAUCAAUCCUGAUGCAACACUGAGUACUGGCAUUAAGGGGGUUCACCACCAUGCCUGGCUUUGCUCUUUGGUGGGGGGUGUGAAACAGAUUCUCUCUGCAUGUCCCUGGCUGCCUUGAAACUCACUACAUAGAGCAGGCUGGCCUUGAACUCACAGAGGUCUGCCUGUCUCUGCCUCCAUAGUGUUGGGAUGCUGGGAUCAUAGGCAUGUAUCACCGUAUUCAACUUGCCUCUCGUUUUGUUUUUAAGACAGGGUCUUAAUACGCAUCACAGGCUGACCUAGAACUCAGGUUUCUGCUAGGAUUACAGAUGCUCUGCUCUGAAGCGUCAGAGCCACCUCAGCAGCUGGGCCUUACAGAUGACCAUGAAGAUCCUGGGAUCCUCUGCGAUGGAGUGAGGGUGAAUGUCCCCCGCUGGGAUCUUGUGGGAAAACUCUAAAAUUCCACUCAGAUCAGCAGGACGUCAAAAGUGACUCAUUGGAAAAAUGAAGAGGUAAGUUUUCACAUCCUGUGAACUCCAGGUAUGCAUAUAGUCAACCACAAGGAAUUCUGGGAUUUUGUUUUGUUUUCUUUGGGGGUGGGUGUUGCUGUUUAUAAUUCAUUGUACCUUUAUAAAUUUCCAGGAGGUCGCCUGGAAUACCUAGGACAGCCCAGUAUGUGCCUGGCCCAUAGGACCCUCAACCCUAGGCGGCACUGGGAAUUUCUCUUGGUUCUGUGAUCUCAUUUUUAGCAUUAAUGGAUGCUGGAGUUAACAAGUGCUUAGGAAGUACUGGUGAGAGCUUGAACUGUGCAUAUGGCCCUGAUACUCUGGUACUUCUUGCAGGAGUUUCUCCUACAGCAAGUUAAGAGGUAGGGGCAGGGCUGGGGAUGGAUUUUCCUUGGCAGACUGCUUGACCAGCAUACCUGAAGCUGUUGGUUCUAUUCCCCAGAAACUGGGUGUGUUGGCACACACCUGUAAUCCCAGAUCAGAAGUUCAAGCUCAUCCCUGAUACUUCUGUUAAAAUUCCUUCCCAGGAGACAUAAACACAAGGUCUACUUAUCCUGAGGUCCCAACAGCAAAUGAAGGCAUGAUACUGCCACAGAGUUCACUCUAGGGAAUCAAGGAGCUUCCUUCCAGAGCAGAGGGACAGGGAUCUUCACGAUAUUGUGAGAGACCGGAAUUGAGGAUGAGCCAGU